rnacentral:rRNA from 1 species
AACGAACGCUGGCGGCAUGCCUAACACAUGCAAGUCGAGCGCGAAAGGACUUCGGUCUGAGUAGAGCGGCGGACGGGUGAGUAACGCGUAGGAAUCUGUCCGGUAGUGGGGGAUAACGUUCCGAAAGGAACGCUAAUACCGCAUACGCCCCACGGGGAGCAGGGGGGGAUCCUUCGGGACCUAUCGCUAUCGGAGGAGCCUGCGUCGGAUUAGCUAGUUGGUAGGGUAAAGGCCUACCAAGGCGACGAUCCGUAGCUGGUCUGAGAGGAUGAUCAGCCACACCGGAACUGAGACACGGUCCGGACUCCUACGGGAGGCAGCAGUGGGGAAUAUUGCGCAAUGGGCGAAAGCCUGACGCAGCCAUGCCGCGUGUGUGAAGAAGGCCUUCGGGUUGUAAAGCACUUUCAGUGGGGAGGAAAGGGGGAUGGCUAAUACCCAUCACCGGUGACGCUACCCACAGAAGAAGCACCGGCUAAUUCCGUGCCAGCCGCCGCCGUAAUAC